UCCACGUUUCUCCUCCCUGAGCGUGUCUUAACCUUGUUAAGAUUUUGGCCCCCACUUGUUGGGGGCUUUUUUUU
rnacentral:ncRNA from 1 species